AUGCUUUGAUUAUACUAGUAAAGGCAAAGGUUUAUUAUACUGUAACACCCCUAACCCGUGUCCGUCGCCAGAAUAGGGUUACGAGUAUUACCAAUCGAAACACAACAUUCAGCAUUCAUUUCUCAAUCAAAUAAUCCAACAUUAAUAAAUAUCAUUCAAUCAUACACAUAUUGUCCCUUUUAGAAGUCUACGAGACCUUAAACAUACAUUAGAGAAGGUUCGGGACUAAACUAAUCACAUAUAAAAAUUUUCGAAACUUGUAAAAAUUUUCUAAGUAACAAAGGUCACAUGGUCGAAUUAUACACCAUGUGCUCAGACCAUGUGGCACAAAAAUAGACUUGAUUUAAGCCACUUUUCUCACCUUUCAAAUGCGGCAUUAAGAACUCCAUAUUAUGAUCAAGCAUAUUUCAUUAAACAUUAAAAUCUUAUGUACAUUUAACCACAUCGAAAUAAAUCAUUCAAGCAUGAUCAUGUGCACUCAUUGCCAUUCAUUCUAUACUCUAUU
rnacentral:lncRNA from 1 species